GUAGAUAACAAAAAGUGCUGGUGCGCAAAAAUUUUAAAAACACCUCAAGUGUUCAUAUAUGUCAUACAGUGCUUUUAAAAUACAUACAAAGUGGAAUUGGUGUUAUCCCACAUAAAAAAAACCCCACAUAAACACACAUGCAUAUAAUUAUAACCUGUAAGUAAGCACUGGUUUCUGCAAAUAGGAGACAAAAAGGGAACAAAAGAAGCACUCCUAGUGCAAUAAAGUUAUUAAAAUCAUAUAAAAGACUUUGAACCCCCUUUGAGCCCCACUCAAAACUAUAACGCCCAGGGAGGGACAGUCCAUAGAGUACGUGGGAUCCAAUAGAUUCUCU